AAACGUUUGGAAACCCUCCUAUAAGAGGGGAAAAGGCGCACUUGACGUACCUGCAAAAAAAGCCCCGCCUAUCUACGUGCCAGCACCCGCGGUAAUACUUAGGGCGCAAGCGUUGUCCGGAUUUUUUGGGCGUAAAGAGCUCGUAGGCGGUUUGUCCCGUCUGCUGUGAAAGCCCGGGGCUCAACCCCGGGUCUGCAGUGGGUACGGGCAAACUAAAGUGCAGAAGGGGAACCUGGAUUUCUUGGUGUAGCGGUGAAUUGCCCAAAUUUCAGAAGAAACCCCGAUGGCGAAGGCAGUUUCUUGGGCUGUAAUUGACGUUGAGGAGCGAAAGCAUGGGGAGCGAACAGAAUAAGAUACCCGGGGGAGUCAA
rnacentral:rRNA from 1 species